GGGUCAGUAGGUUGGUCGUGCCACCGGUACGUACUGGUCUCACUGAUUCCUCCUUCCUGAAGAACCGUAAUGCCAUUAAUUUGGUGUUGAGGGGAAACAGGACUGUUAAUUUGAAAAAAUUAGAGUGUUUAAAGCAAGCUAACGCUUGAAUACAUUAGCAUGGAAUAAUGAAAUAGGACGAUCGAUCCUAUUUUGUUGGUUUCUAGGAUUGACGUA
rnacentral:rRNA from 1 species